rnacentral:misc_RNA from 1 species
UUGUGGAGGAGGACGCCGAAGGUGGGGCUAAUGACUGGGGUGAAGUCGUAACAAGGUAGCCGUACCGGAAGGUGCGGCUGGAUCACCUCCUAACAGGGAGACAACAAAAUGUUUAAUAUUAUUAUUUUGUCACCUUAGGUCGAUCGGUAUCUCACAUUUCUUAAUUUAUUAAAAAUUUCAUUUCCUAAGUUUUUCUAGGUCACACCCAUUAUUUUUCCUGGGCCAUUAGCUCAGGUGGUUAGAGCGCACCCCUGAUAAGGGUGAGGUCCCUGGUUCAAGUCCAGGAUGGCCCAUAUCUCUAUGUUGGGGGUAUAGCUCAGUUGGUAGAGCGCCUGCUUUGCAAGCAGGAUGUCAGCGGUUCGAGUCCGCUUACCUCCACUGAUUACCACCUCUUCCAUAACCGGUAGAAAGGAAAUGUUUUGAGUUGUGAUCAAAUUCUGAAAGAAUCUAGCUUCCUAAUGAAAUCAUUAAGAUGCUGGACUCAUUGAAUUAAUUUCAUUGUUUUCAGAGAACCUUGACAACUGCAUAGAUUAUUUUUAAAGACAAUAAGCAUCUUUAAUGAUGCAGAUUUAUUAUUUGUGCAAAUGCAUUAAUAACAAUUCUAUUAAGCUGAUGCUUCAAUUUUGAAGUUAUUGGUCAAGCUACAA